AUGCUGGAAGACAUAGAGAAGUUGAAGGCAUUCAAGAAGCCUAUUUCAUGGGCUAGACAUGUCGCAAAUUUCAUCUAUAGGCAUGGAAGAAUUCUUCGUCUAUUGAGGAAGGUGAUGAAUGGGCUAGAUCUUGUGAGACCCGCAACCACUCGUUUUGCCACGACCUUCCUUACACUAAAGAGUUUGGUCAGGCACAAGGCAACUUUGAGGAGUAUGUUUACGUGCGCAGCAUGGGUUGGAAGCAAAGUGGCCAAACCACAAGCUGGCUUAAAUGUGCAAGACAUUGUGCUCUCAGUUGAGUGGUGGCAUUCAAUUGAGGACCGCCUUAGAGCUUGAACGCCGCUUCUCCGAGUGCUUAGGGUAGCGGAUGAUCAUGGGAAGCCUGCAAUGCCUGAGAUUACAGAACUUAUGAUUUAUGCAAAGAAGAAGAUCAAUCAAAGCUUCCCCCAACAAAAUAAGCAACCUUUGCUCAAGAAGAUCUUGGAAAUUAUUGAGAAUCAUCGAGAGACUCAAAUGGAUCAUCCAUCAUAUGGGGCUACUCUUUUUUUGAACCCAGGAAAGUUUUUCCCUAUUGUAAAGAGGAAUGACGAUGCCUUAGUUGGGGAUAAGGAGCUGCUUUACCGAUGUGUAUGCAAAAACAGCGUUCGAUGCAAAUAUUCGAAGCAAGAUUGA
rnacentral:rRNA from 1 species